rnacentral:rRNA from 1 species
GUCGAGAAUUUUUCACAAUGGGCGCAAGCCUGAUGGAGCGACGCCGCGUGGGGGAUGAAGGGUUUCGAUCCGUAAACCCCUGUCAUUUGCGAACAAAUCUUAUGGGAUAACACCCCAUGAGUUGAUUGUAGCGGAAGAGGAAGGGACGGCUAACUCUGUGCCAGCAGCCGCGGUAAUACAGAGGUCCCGAGCGUUGUUCGGAUUCACUGGGCGUAAAGGGUGCGUAGGUGGCCAGGUAAGUUUGGUGUGAAAGCUCGGAGCUUAACUCCGAAAAGGCAUUGAAUACUAUCUGGCUAGAGGGUUGGAGGGGAGACUGGAAUUCUCGGUGUAGCAGUGAAAUGCGUAGAUAUCGAGAGGAACACCAGUGGCGAAGGCGAGUCUCUGGACAACCCCUGACACUGAGGCACGAAAGCUAGGGGAGCAAACAGGAUUAGAAACCCGUGUAGUCC